AAAGUACUGAGCCAUGACAAGACACCGUGGACACGUAACAUAUUUAGAUACCAAGAACAAUGUGACAAUACCAUUAUCUGAACUAGAAAUAUAGUGAUGUGUUUGAUGAGUCAGAGUAACCUACUGGGAAAUCCUAAAACAACCUAGUUGAAAGAGCCGUGGUCUUCUAAUAACCUAAAAGAGGCCCCUGAAGAGAGAAAAUUAUAAAUCUAUCACUGGUGAGUGCUUAAAAACAACACAGACCAGAGAAGAAAGAAAGGAGUAAAGAGUUCAAGCCCGGAUAACAAUGGGACUAGUCCAAAAGUUUGCAAAAACAAAAGGAGAUCUGUUGAAAAAUAAGUUAUAGAUGCUUGAAGUCUACAUUUAUUUCUUCUUAUUACUCAUUUUGGAAUGGAUGCUACAUUCUUUGUAGGUUCAAAAUAUCCUCAGAAUCCCAAGUAUGUGAUAAGACCUAGAAAGGGCAUAAUUAAGCCUUUGU
rnacentral:lncRNA from 1 species